UGGGGAAUUUUGGACAAUGGGGGAAACCCUGAUCCAGCCAUCCCGCGUGUGCGAUGAAGGCCUUCGGGUUGUAAAGCACUUUUGGCAGGAAAGAAACGUCGCGGGUUAAUACCCCGCGAAACUGACGGUACCUGCAGAAUAAGCACCGGCUAACUACGUGCCAGCAGCCGCGGUAAUACGUAGGGUGCAAGCGUUAAUCGGAAUUACUGGGCGUAAAGCGUGCGCAGGCGGUUCGGAAAGAAAGAUGUGAAAUCCCAGAGCUUAACUUUGGAACUGCAUUUUUAACUACCGGGCUAGAGUGUGUCAGAGGGAGGUGGAAUCCCGCGUGUAGCAGUGAAAUGCGUAGAUAUGCGGAGGAACACCGAUGGCGAAGGCAGCCUCCUGGGAUAACACUGACGCUCAUGCACGAAAGCGUGGGGAGCAAACAGGAUUAGAUACCCUGGUAGUCCACGCCCUAAACGAUGUCAACUAGCUGUUGGGGCCUUCGGGCCUUGGUAGCGCAGCUAACGCGUGAAGUUGACCGCCUAGGGAGUACGGUCGCAAGAUUAAAACUC
rnacentral:rRNA from 1 species